rnacentral:rRNA from 1 species
AGCAACAGCUCAAAUUUGAAAUCCGGCCCGGCCGAGUUGUAAUUUGGAGAGGAUGCUUUGGGCGCGGCGCCACCGAGUGCCUUGGAACAGGCCGCCGGAGAGGGUGAGAGCCCCGUACGGUGGGAGGCCUAGCCCGUGCAAAGCUCCUUCGACGAGUCGAGUAGUUUGGGAAUGCUGCUCAAACGGGAGGUAAAUUUCUUCCAAAGCUAAAUAUUGGCCAGAGACCGAUAGCGCACAA